rnacentral:lncRNA from 1 species
UUUUUUUUUUUUUUUUUUUAAUUUUUGAGACGGAGUCUCCCUCUGUCUCCCAGGCUGGAGUGCAAUGGUGACAUCUCGGCUCACUGCAAUCUCCGCCUCUUGGGUUCAAGCGAUUCUUUUGCCUCAGCCUCCCAAGUAGCUGGGAUUACAGGCGCCUGCCAGUACGCCUGGCUAAUUUUUACAUGUUUAGUAGAGAUGGGGUUUCACCAUGUUGGCCAGGCUGGUCUCAAAUUCCUGACUGGUGAUCCACCUGCCUUGGCCCCCCAAAGUGCUGGGAUUACAGGUGUGAGCCACCGUACCAGCCUGCAAACAUUUUGUUUUCUCCCUAGGAGCCCUACGGCCAGAUAUACCAGGUCCAGUUUUCAAAUCCCUACAUCUGCCCUAACCCCUGUGUGCCAGGGCAGUGACUGUGCUCCUGGGUGGUGAGGGGGAUGUGGAGGGGACUUAACAUGUGCUUGGUUCUGUGCUGGGCAUUUUGUAACCCGCAGUACUGGGAUUAUAGGCCUGAGCUAUGGUGCCCAGCCUGAAGUAUGGUUUUAUUCAGUGGCUCUCUUACACUGUCUGUCUCUGUCUCGGCUGCCCGCGCCGUCUCUGAGGCUCCUGUCGCUCCCACGCCUGCAGCUGCAUUCCCUGGCCUGCAAGGCCGGCUCUCCCUCAUAGGGUCAAAACCUUCACUCGCUCUCUUUGGGCGCAAGUCAUACGCACGCAUCAGCAGGACAGUUACACCUUUUACAAAUAGCAGUGACUCUGAGCCAGGUGAUGAGCCUUCCCACGUUAUGGCUGUCUGUGAAACCGCUUUGCCAUGUGUGGAUUCAUCUCACAGAGUUAAACCUUUCUUUUGAUUCAGCAGGUUGGAAACAUUCUUUUUGUAGAAUCCGCGAGGGGACAUUUCAGAGCCCAUCGAGGCCUGUAGUGAGAAACCGAAUAUCCCGCGAUAAAAACUAGGAAGAAGUUAUCUGUGAAACCGCCUUGUGAUGUUUGUUUUUUAAAUCCUGCUCUUCCCACUAGAAUGUAAGCUUCCGAAGAGCAGGGCUGUUCAUUCUGCCCUCUGUGUGCACCCAGCCCGGAGCGGCGCCC